rnacentral:rRNA from 1 species
CUGGUAGUCCACGCUGUAAACGAUGUCGAUUUGGAGUUUGUUGCCUAGAGUGAUGGGCUCCGAAGCUAACGCGAUAAAUCGACCGCCUGGGGAGUACGGCCGCAAGGUUAAAACUCAAAUGAAUUGACGGGGGCCCGCACAAGCGGUGGAGCAUGUGGUUUAAUUCGAUGCAACGCGAAGAACCUUACCUGGUCUUGACAUCCAUAGAAUUCUGCAGAGAUGUGGGAGUGCCUUCGGGAACUAUGAGACAGGUGCUGCAUGGCUGUCGUCAGCUCGUGUUGUGAAAUGUUGGGUUAAGUCCCGCAACGAGCGCAACCCUUAUUCUUUGUUGCCAGCGAUUUGGUCGGGAACUCAAAGGAGACUGCCGUUGAUAAAGCGGAGGAAGGUGGGGACGACGUCAAGUCAUCAUGGCCCUUACGACCAGGGCUACACGCGUGCUACAAUGGCGUAUACAAAGGGAAGCGAAGGUGCGAGCUGGAGCGGAUCUCAUAAAGUACGUCUAAGUUCGGAUUGGAGUCUGCAACUCGACUCCAUGAAGUCGGAAUCGCUAGUAAUCGUAGAUCAGAAUGCUACGGUGAAUACGUUCCCGGGCCUUGUACACACCGCCCGUCACACCAUGGGAGUGGGUUGCACCAGAAGUAGAUAGCUUAACCGCGAGGGGGGCGUUUACCACGGUGUGAUUCAUGACUGGGGUGAAGUCGUAACAAGGUAACCA